GGGACUGAGCCAUUUCGAGAAAUUUGGGGACCGUUGAUUUAAUUUUUCUAAAUUACUUUGAUGGAAGCCAAUUUAAUCGCAGUGGCUUGAACCGGGCAAAAGUCGUAACAAGGUAGCUGUAGGUGAACCUGCUGCUGGAUCAUUACUUUAUGUGAUGUUCAAAUUUGAAUUCGCAAUGAAAUGAUCGUUG
rnacentral:rRNA from 1 species